rnacentral:rRNA from 1 species
UUUGAUCCUGGCUCAGGACGAACGCUGGCGGCGUGCCUAAUACAUGCAAGUCGAACGCGUCUCGGUUAAUGAUUUUAAGUGCUUGCACUUGAAAGAUUUAACAUUGAGACGAGUGGCGAACUGGUGAGUAACACGUGGGUAACCUGCCCUUGAAGUAGGGGAUAACACUUGGAAACAGGUGCUAAUACCGUAUAACAACCAAAACCACCUGGUUUUGGUUUAAAAGACGGCUUCGGCUGUCACUUUAGGAUGGACCCGCGGCGUAUUAGCUUGUUGGUAAGGUAACGGCCUACCAAGGCGAUGAUACGUAGCCGACCUGAGAGGGUAAUCGGCCACAUUGGGACUGAGACACGGCCCAAACUCCUACGGGAGGCAGCAGUAGGGAAUCUUCCACAAUGGGCGAAAGUCUGAUGGAGCAACGCCGCGUGAGUGAUGAAGGGUUUCGGCUCGUAAAACUCUGUUGUUGGAGAAGAACAGGUGUCAGAGCAACUGUUGACAUCUUGACGGUAUCCAACCAGAAAGCCACGGCUAACUACGUGCCAGCAGCCGCGGUAAUACGUAGGUGG